rnacentral:rRNA from 1 species
GACGAACGCUGGCGGCGUGCUUAACACAUGCAAGUCGAACGCUGAAGCCCAGCUUUUGUUGGGUGGAUGAGUGGCGAACGGGUGAGUAACACGUGAGUAACCUGCCCCCUUCUUUGGGAUAACGCCCGGAAACGGGUGCUAAUACUGGAUAUUCACUGGUCUUCGCAUGGGGGUUGGUGGAAAGGGCUUUUCUGGUGGGUGAUGGGCUCGCGGCCUAUCAGCUUGUUGGUGGGGUGAUGGCCUACCAAGGCUUUGACGGGUAGCCGGCCUGAGAGGGUGACCGGUAACAUUGGGACUGAGAUACGGCCCAGAAUCCUACGCGAGGCAGCAGUGGGGAAUAUUGCACAAUGGGCGGAAGCCUGGUGCAGCGACGCCGCGUGAGGGAUGGAGGCCUUCGGGUUGGGAACCGCGUUCGCACAUGGUCAAGCCGCAACAAUGGUUGUGGUGAGGGUAGUGGGUAAAGAAGCGCCGGCUAACUACGUG